AUUAUUCUUUAAAAAGCAAGCUUUUGCCUGUACGAGUUAUCAUUGGAACUGAAAAAGGCCCAGUGUCUCCACCCACCUUUUUUUUUUUAACUAUUCCCGGUCUUACUGAACAGGGAGAAGGACUGGGUUACACUGCCACCAAAAACCCCCUCCACAUCAUAGGAAGGGUGCAAUUCUUGUCAUUUUAAAACCUCAUCCUGUUCCAACUGCUGGGUAACUAGCUCUGACUGGAUUUAUUGUUAUUCCUUCAAGACCCCUCACUCCAGACACCACAAUAUUCUUUUAAAAUCUCAUCUUUUUCUCUUCUUUUUUCUAAGGUUCAAGGGUUGGAGAGGGACGUGAUCGAAACCCCACCAUCUUCCAUUCUGCUUCCCAGACUUAGGUUUCGAGCUCAGAUGACCAACCCUUCUCUGAACUUUAGCCUUAAUCAAAGCAAGAAGCGUUUUAAGGACCUACAGUGUCCUGGGCAAUAUCCUAGGGUUCUUGGGGAAAAAAGGGGAAUAGACACUGACUCCAGCUACUUAAUUGGGCUAUGGUAGUAACAACACAACCUGUGCAUAUUUACCUCUGCUCCUGGAGAGAAGAGAGGAAGAGGAAAUGAUUCCAAAAUACUGACUGGCAGAUCAGAAAGAAAAGACUUGCCAAGAAGAUGAAUGUGUUUCUCUCUUUAUGGUGUCCAUCUCAUGUUUAAUUACAUUGGCAUUCUGAUUUAGCAAUGGAGUUACUGAUUUAGGAACUUCCCUCUUUCCCCUUUCCUUCCCUCCCCAUUCCAGCAUCACCAAGGCAUCCGCAUAGAGUAACUUCAUAUUUUGGAAAUAUUUUAAGGUAAACAAAGCUUUAUACAUCAAGAAAUUGCUGUGAUAUACUAUUCAGUGAAUAGGCAUGUUUAAAUCUGAACUUUGAUAGGAGCUACAUAAUUCUGAUCAAUUCACUUUAUAAAUGUGGACAUCAUUUUCCUCAUGCAAAGGGUGUUUGAGCAUUUUUAGUGUGGAAGUGCAACUCGAACACUGCCUUCUAUAUGAGGCCUUUUUGAACACCUCUAGUUUAUAUUUGUAUUGAUUGUUAUUUUGGAUUUAAAUGCAAAAAAAGUUUUUUCAUGUUUAUAUCAGUACACAAAAAGAAUGAAUGAAACUGUGAAUCUCCAUUUUUUACUGUUUGUUUUUUAAAAGUAUAUAACAAUACAUCUUCAUGAGGUAUACUUCUAUUUUGUAACUGCACUUUCAAGAGCAAAAUUACUGUGAACUUGGAGUAUUUUAACUCUGUCUUAGUAAACCAUAGUGAUUUCUAGCUUUACAAAUAUAAACAGGUAUACACAAGAUUCAUGCAAUAGAGACUGAUGAUAACCUUUAAAGAAAGAUACUAACAGUAUGGGACUCCUGCAAAAAAAAAAAAGUGAAUUUCAAGCUGAGUCUUAAAUCAAGGAUUCUAAAAGGCACAGAAUAGGAAAGAGAUCAUUUCAGAAGACUUAGGUAUAAAUCUAAGCUCUACUACUUACUUUACUAGCCUCAGAAGUCACUUAAUAUUCUUGACUUCACAUUUUUCAUCUGUAAAAUGAGGGAUACAGCAGAAAGAUAGAUUUCUAAUAUCUAGAGAUUUAAUCUGAGAAAUAUAUAGAAAUUUUUUCAAAAUAGUUUAUAUUAUAAACAUUUAUUAAUAUAAUGAUAAACUACAAAUUCAAUUUGAGUUUUGUGAGUAUUAUCAAUACCUGGCUCAUAUAUUAUUUUGAUCAACCUAAUUUUAAGUAAUGGGUCCAGAAGAAGAAAAAUGAAGCACACCAUUGAUCUUACCUUAAAAAACAAAAAAUAAAAAGAUAGUAAUUUUCAAGCAUUGCUAGUAUGGAAAUGUGCUAGUAUAGGCAAAUACAUAUUGAAGGAUUUUUUAUUUUUUCAAAAACAAGUAUUUUUUAUUCAUCUGUUCCUCCACUAUGCACAUUUAACAAACUUUUUAACACACACACACACACACACACAUAUCUGCAUAUGGUUACCAGCAGAAGAAAUUCCCAUGGAUGAAAUUUUAAGUUGCUUUCUAUAUUUGAAUUUCUCAGGGCCAGGAGAUGAAUGGUAUGUUUUUCCUUUAUUUAUUUGGAUUCGUAGUUUAUUAUUGAGCUCAUCAAAUUUCUAAGGUCUUUAAAGUCUUAAACACUAUGCUACAAUAGUGCCUGGCAGAAAAGAGGCACCUAAUGAAUGUUCAGUAACCAGUCACUUCUGUAUGUUAUACACCUAAUCUGUCCUACUGACUUUUUAAAAAAAUCAGUACCACCUUGUUUUAAUGAUUACUGUUUUGUAAUGUAGUUUGAGAUUUGAUACUGAUAGGUUACUCUCUGUUCCAUUCUUCAUUUUUAACCUUGAGAUUCAUUGAUUUGAAUUUUGAUAUUAAUAUAUGAAAGCCAUUUUGACAAUAAGCAUCUCUUGUCCACUUGAUUUUUCCUAGAUGGAUGCUAGGUCAAGCUCUUUUGAAUGCUUAUAAGUCUCAUUCAUGGCUCUGUCCAAGGCUUGACAAAAGCAGGACAAUGUAAUUGAAAACUCUAGUAUAUGAAAGACUUUAUCAUAUAUAGUAAUCCCUCUUCAAUUUGUAUUCUGAACUAGAUCUCUAUUGUAGUGAUGAAAAUCUUUGACAAUUAUAAAGCUGUAUCUUGUGUGACUCACCUAAUAUUAAAUAACAGAAAGUCAUUGAAUAAGGCUUUCACCAUUAUUAUAUCUUCCAAGGAAUCUUUUAAAUUUUAACAUAUACAUGAGAGAUAACUUGUUUAAAAAGAGCAUUCAAAUUAAUACUUUACUCAGUGGGGAUCUUAAAAAAUUCAACAAGUACAAUGGAAUAAUCUGCACUAUACACUUUAGAAAAUUAUGUGAUGGUAAAGAUUUAUUCUACUGUUAUAUGUCAAUUAUGAAGGCUUGAAUCCUCAUUUCUUAUUCCUUUAUAAAUGAAGCCCUUGAUGAAUGUAGUAAUUAUUCUAAUCAAAUUUUAUAAAUAAGAAUGUUGGCAUUGUUAAUGUUCUCUCAGUCAUCUUUUUAAAAACAAUUUACUGAUAUCUUUUAUUUUUAAAUCAUAGUCAUUUCCGGAAAUAAGCACUUACCACCAGCAACUUGCAACAAAGAAAAAUGAAUUAUGCAAAACCAGAUAAUAUAUAAUAACCAUAUCAGACAAGUUUGUUUUAGUGAUCCUCCAUUUAUCUGCUGUGAAGAGGGGUUAUGGUUUAUUAUUAGUUCUUAGAUCUUAUUUGACUUUUAAGUUAUUCCUUAAAGCUUCCUUUCUUUUCAUUUACAUUAUUGUAAUCAAUGUGUAUGUUGUUCUUUUGGUUUUGUUUAUUUUAUUCUGCAAUAAAAAUCAAUUUAUGUGAAACUCCCCCAGCUUCUCUGAAUCCCUCAUAUUUGUCAUUUCAUAUUAUGAAAUAAUAUCCCAUAUAUUCAUAUGCCAUUAAUUCUAUCCAUUCCCCAGUUGAUGGUUGUGUACUUUGUUCCCAAGGAAGACUACUAAAAAUAUUGUGAUCAUCA